AAAGUUUAACUUUGCAGCCCUAAUUGGUUUGUCCCAAUGGAUAGAGUGUCGGCCUAUGGACUGAAGGGUCCCAAGUUUAAUUCCGGUCAGGGCAUGUACCUUGGUUGUGGACACAUCCCCAGUAGGGGUUAUGCCAGAGGCAGCUGAUUGAUGUUUCU